GACGAACGCUGGCGGCGUGCUUAACACAUGCAAGUCGAACGGAAAGGCCCUGCUUUUGUGGGGUGCUCGAGUGGCGAACGGGUGAGUAACACGUGAGUAACCUGCCUUUGACGUUGGGAUAACUUCAGGCAACUGGGGCUAAUACCGGCUAGGAGCUCCUGCUGCAUGGUGGGGGUUGGAAAGUUUCGGCGGUUGGGGAUGGACUCGCGGCUUAUCAGCUUGUUGGUGGGGUAGUGGCUUACCAAGGCUUUGACGGGUAGCCGGCCUGAGAGGGUGACCGGCCACAUUGGGACUGAGAUACGGCCCAGACUCCUACGGGAGGCAGCAGUGGGGAAUAUUGCACAAUGGGCGGAAGCCUGAUGCAGCAACGCCGCGUGCGGGAUGACGGCCUUCGGGUUGUAAACCGCUUUCGCCUGUGACGAAGCGUGAGUGACGGUAAUGGGUAAAGAAGCACCGGCUAACUACGUG
rnacentral:rRNA from 1 species